CCCCACUGCUAUCGGGAUAGGACUAAGACAUGCUAGUCGCGUGCUUCAGCCAAAACGAGGCACGGCAAACAGCUCAGUAACACGUGGCUAAUCUGCCCUUAGGACGCGAACAACCCCGGGAAACUGGGGCUAAUUCACGAUAGGUGAAGAACUCUGGAAUGAGUCUUUGCCUAAAAGAGCUUACGUUAUGCUCGUAAGUUUCGCCUAAGGAUGAGGCCGCGACCGAUCAGGUUGUUGGUGAGGUAAUGGCUCACCAAGCCUUUUACCGGUGCGGGCCGUGAGAGCGGGAGCCCGGAGAUGGGCACUGAGACAAGGGCCCAGGCCCUACGGGGCGCAGCAGUCGCGAAAACUUUGCAAUACACGAAAGUGUGACAGGGCUAUCCCGAGUGCCAUCCGCUGAGGAAGGCUUUUACCUAGUCUAGAACGCUGGGGGAAUAAGGAGAGGGCAAGUCUGGUGU
rnacentral:rRNA from 1 species